GUACUGCUGUAGGAGGAUAUAAUAGAAUAUUGUAAAUAUAUUCAUCUGUUUUUAAACUGGAGAAUGGAAAUAAAUCCUUGAAUAAACUACAGUGAAUCUGAACGACCGAUGCCACGGUCCAUGAUUUCUGCUCCAUGUGUGAGGAUCACCAUUUUGUGAGGCGUUGUAUGAGGGUUGUCCUUCCACUAUUUCAACAUGGACUGUUUGAAACUGAUUCUCUGGAGGUGUAUCUCGACACUCAGAAUAAGAUGGACAGAUCAGCAUUACAAUGUCUGCUGUAAACUUCUCUGCAGUUGUGCUGCAAGAAACUGGGAUAAAAUUAAAUCUUCCCAAAUGCCUAACGAACUUCAGGGGUGGCUGUCGUUGCCAAGAGUUCACCAAUUUUACACAAAAUUCCCGACCUAGUGUGGUAUAUCCCUGACCCAAAUAUCAUUACCUUAUUUGUGCAAUGCUUGGGGCAAUCCACAGUGUAAACUUUUGCUGAUUCUUGCAUAUCAAGGAGCUUACAUGCGCUAACCUCUGCAAAGCUGCAGCACAAACUUCCGAAUACCCAGUAUAAUGGUUGGUCCCAAACACCCUGUUAAACCUCCUUACACAAUUUGCUGGACAAAUCACAUUCUGUUUGAAAGUCUUGAUGUCUAACCCAAUUGUUCUGCAAGUUACUUGAACCUGAACGACCGAUGCCACGGUCCAUGAUUUCUGCUCCAUGUGUGAGGAUCACCAUUUUGUGAGGCGUUGUAUGAGGGUUGUCCUUCCACUAUUUCAACAUGGACUGUUUGAAACUGAUUCUCUGGAGGUGUAUCUCGACACUCAGAAUAAGAUGGACAGAUCAGCAUUACAAUGUCUGCUGUAAACUUCUCUGCAGUUGUGCUGCAAGAAACUGGGAUAAAAUAUUCCCGACCUAGUGUGGUAUAUCCCUGACCCAAAUAUCAUUACCUUAUCUGUGCAAUGCUUGGGGCAAUCCACAGUGUAAACUUUUGCUGAUUCUUGCAUAUCAAGGAGCUUACAUGCGCUAACCUCUGCAAAGCUGCAGCACAAACUUCUGAAUACCCAGUAUAAUGGUUGGUCCCAAACACCCUGUUAAACCUCCUUACACAGUUUGCCGGACAAAUCACAUUUUGUUUGAAAGUCUUGAUGUCCACUCCAAGUGUCUUGCAAGUUACUGUAACCAAAUUUGUUUUUACAUAUAGGUAUGGACACUUAGUAAUUGUAAGGGAAGUUAUACUUGUUUUUUAUAAUAUGUUAUUGAAUAUAAGGAACCAAAUUAUAUAUGUUAUUGAAAAUAAGGAACCAAA